GAGAGAUCACUGAUAGUGUUGUACUAUGUAAUGACCGGCCAUCUAUCACGAGCUAUUUCAUUAUUAAAGGAACUUAUGUGAAAACAUCAUUUACCUAGUCCACAGCCAAGGUCGCUAGAAUUUAAAAACGAAUGUAGACCAUCUCUAGAAUGGUGAUUUUCAAAAUUCUAGAACUGCUUGAGUAACCAUCGAGUAUUCAAAUUUAAAUAAGACCGUUGUGUUUGUUGGUGUUUGUGCAAGUCUGGAAUAUCUUGUAGAGUAAUUAAUGCACUAUAAUCGGAAUAGAAGAUGGAGUUUUUUUUUCUGGCCUUGGAAGAUAAUAAAUUAUAAGCAAGAAAAUC
rnacentral:misc_RNA from 1 species